AUCCGUUUUCUAUUGCUGUACUGGCUGCACUAGUUUGCACUUAUUCUCUUUUCCUCUUUUUUUCCAUCAAACUUCAAGAAAAAGAGGAAAAAAGAACUAGUGCAGCAAUAGAAAAGAGCUAUUGUUUUCAUUCAAAAUAUCGAUUUUCUCAGUCCUUGAAGGUGGAUGUGAUAUUAUCAAUCACAUUUUGGCGCGAAUACCACACAUUUGAAUGUCAGGGCAAUAUUCAUGCUUAUGGCUGAAAUGCCGCAAGCUGAGAGCUAAUGUCAUCUAUUUAUUGAAAUUGCCAAAGUAUGCGUAACGCUCAACAAUAUUCCAACCUUCACAAUAUGCAACUAAAUAUUCUAUUACACAAUUUAAAUCUUAUCUUGAUUAUCAAUUAUCAUUAACAUGUAAGUACAAAUAAGUAACAUGGACUUGUGAAAAUAA